rnacentral:tRNA from 1 species
GGUGGUAUGGCGGAAUUGGUAGACGCUAAGGUUUGUGACUAUCGAGAGAAUGUAGUUUUGUCCUUUCCUAUUUGGAAUUUCAGCAACUCAUGCGGGUUCGAGUCCCGCUACCAUCA